rnacentral:lncRNA from 1 species
ACUGUGCAAUUAGUUUUUAUUUUUAUGCAUAUUUAACUGUGCAAUUUAGCCUUUUUUCGCUGGGGUGUGGUGUGUGUGUUCGCUUAUAUACUUGGGCUUUUCUACCUUAAUGACAUGAAAAGUGCUGCAUAAGAGGAAACGAGAAUUGGGAGCAUAUAAAAUGAAUAGGGUUGUCUAUAGUCAUAUUGACAGCUUUUUCCAAAAUAUUUAGAUGCAAUCCUACUUUUUGGGGACUGUUAAUUACAGAAAAAACCAAUUAUACAUGAACUUUCUGUGUUUGGUUCUUGGCAGAAACCAUGCAUCAUCUAGCUGCAAACAACAACAAAUGGGAAUAAUUGAUAGGAUCAUUUUGAUUAGCUUUCUAUAUUUCAAAAAAGGGAAUAAUUGAUAGGAUGUAACACCCAAAAUUUUGGAUUUCAAUUAAUAGGAGUUAAUUAGAUUUAUUUGAGUGUUUUUUUGAGCAUUUGAAUCUAGCAAAUAAAUAAUUUUUGUCAAAAUUAAAAAUUCAUUACAAGUUUAGAAACUGUAUAUGCAUUCAUGCUGGAGCAUAGUUAUUUUUGUGCUGUUUGUCUGUUUUCAUUUUAUUUAUUCUUUGCUCAAAAUUGUAUUUGGAAAAGGUUUUUGGAAAAGAAAACAGAAAAGGAAAUAAAAAAGAAAGAAAAAAAAGCCCUAGCCGACCCCCCCCCUCUCACCCCGCGCGCGGCCCAGUUCUCCAACCGGCCCAUCGGACCAGCGCAGCGCCCUCUUCUCCGUUUCCUCUCUGACAGCCUGGCCCCGCUUCUCUCUCUCACCGACUCCUUGGCCCCACCCGUCAGCAGCAUCUCCUUCCCCUAUUUCUAGUCGUGUGCGAACAGGACUCGGCCGAUAGUCCCGUGCCGAAUCCCACCCCUAGAAAACCGCGAUUCUCUUGCCAAACGCGCGAACCGAGGCCCUAUAAAGCUCCUACGACCCCACCGCGACCUUCCUUUACCGUUUUCCGCACCUCGGGAACCCUAGCCGUCGAGUUCAUUGAAGUUUGGAUCUCGCCGAAGACCCCAUCCUUUCCCCGUCGCGACGCGAGCUUCUCGCUCUCUCUCAGCCCGACCAAAGGCGCUAGGUGAGUUCGCGGGCUGCUCCUCUGUCUUCCCGUGCCCGCGGCUUGGUUUUUGGUGGAC